UCAUAUGUAAAGUACUUAAAAAUAUAUAAACGAAGUUUUAUUCUUUGCGUAGCAUAUGAAUUAGUUUCUUGGUCUGAUUGUAGCUAGCAUCUUCUAAAAAAUGCUAGACAAACGGCAUAGUGCUUACCUGUAAUAAUGAAACAAACAGUAUAGCAAUCAGCUGGAAUCAAUUAAAGAAGAAGAAAACAGAUAGGGAACAGAACAAAAAGAGGCAAUCAAAUUUUAAUGAAGCCACUCAUGUCAUUACAAUCCUUGAUAAUAAUUACAAGAUUCCAAUAAAUUUAUUCUUAAAGGGGAUUUUAACU